rnacentral:rRNA from 1 species
GACGAACGCUGGCGGCGUGCCUAAUACAUGCAAGUUGAGCGCUGAAGGUUGGUACUUGUACCAACUGGAUGAGCAGCGAACGGGUGAGUAACGCGUGGGGAAUCUGCCUUUGAGCGGGGGACAACAUUUGGAAACGAAUGCUAAUACCGCAUAAAAACUUUAAACACAAGUUUUAAGUUUGAAAGAUGCAAUUGCAUCACUCAAAGAUGAUCCCGCGUUGUAUUAGCUAGUUGGUGAGGUAAAGGCUCACCAAGGCGAUGAUACAUAGCCGACCUGAGAGGGUGAUCGGCCACAUUGGGACUGAGACACGGCCCAAACUCCUACGGGAAGCAGCAGUAGGGAAUCUUCGGCAAUGGACGAAAGUCUGACCGAGCAACGCCGCGUGAGUGAAGAAGGGUUUCGGAUCGUAAAACUCUGUUGGUAGAGAAGAACGUUGGUGAGAGUGGAAAGCUCAUCAAGUGACGGUAACUACCCAGAAAGGGACGGCUAACUACGUG